CCUUCCUUUUUCCAGUAUGGGAAAAUCACAGGAGCGCGCUGCCUCCUGCGUGCCCUGCCAUGACAACAAAGCUGGUGAAGGGGCUGGAGAACAAGUCUUACGAGGAGCAGCUGAGGGACCUGGAGAGGAGGAGGCUGAGGGGAGACCUUAUCACUGUCUACAACUGCAUGAAAGGAGGUUGUGGCGAGGACAGGUUUUCUGGCAGUGUGGAGAGGUUUGUGGCACAAAGUGCUGCUUUAAAAGAAGCAAAUCACCCCUUCUUGACUUAAAAGCAGCUUCAUCACUCUUCAUUCAGCACUGCUGCGGCCUUCCUAGGAAAGAUUCCGACCUCUGUGCCUUUCCUUCAGAUGACCUGUGGGGACCAUGUUCUUCUCCCUGAGAUGGAGCUGAUGGGGAGAAGAUGGCACUCAUAGGGCCUCCCAGCUGAGACUACUGCUGGUACGUGAGGUCACUGGGCAGAACAACGAGGAAAGAUGGGGAAGGGAUGUAAAAUAAAAGUCACAGGUGCCUGGUGGAUGGUUGGGCUGGAGGAGUAGCUCCCAGGUAGGAGAGCAAGGCUGCUGCUGUGGAGAAAGUGGUCUUUCCAAGCCAUGUCUUGAACCUGUUGCAACUAGAACAUUGGAGAUGAGACUUUUGGGAUGGGGCCCGCAGAAGGUAGGCUGAAAAUGUUCCCCGGGCUUGGUGGGAAGGUUGUGACAUCUGGCUGUGACGGCACGACCGGGAAUCGGGAAAUGCACAGUGGGCAUGGUUGGCCUUCUCAGCUGAUUUGGGUGUAGCAGAGGCUGGUUUGGCCAAGGCUGCCUCUGAUGGACACUUGCGGCCACAGAGGAGGGAAGAAACAGGGCUGCUCCUGGGAGCAGUGGUGAGGCA